UACGAAGGGGGCUAGCGUUGUUCGGAAUCACUGGGCGUAAAGGGCGCGUAGGCGGCCGAUCAAGUCGGGGGUGAAAGCCUGUGGCUCAACCACAGAAUUGCCUUCGAUACUGUUUGGCUUGAGACCGGAAGAGGUUAGUGGAACUGCGAGUGUAGAGGUGAAAUGCGCAGAUAUCAGGAGGAACACCGAUGGCGAAGGCAGCUCGCUGGGACGGUACUGACGCUGAGGCGCGAAAGCGUGGGGAGCAAACAGG
rnacentral:rRNA from 1 species